rnacentral:rRNA from 1 species
GACGAACGCUGGCGGCGUGCUUAACACAUGCAAGUCGAACGGAAAGGCCCUGCAGUUGUGGGGUGCGCGAGUGGGGAACGGGUGAGUAACACGUGAGUAACCUGCCCUUGACUUGGGGAUAAUUUCAGGAAACUGGGGCUAAUACCGGAUAGGAGCUCCUGCUGCAUGGUGGGGGGUGGCAAGUUUCGGCGGUUCGGGCUGGACUCGCGGCUUGUCAGCGUGUUGGUGGGGUAGUGUCUUACCAAGGCUUUGACGGAUAGCCGGCCUGGGAGGGUGACCGGCCACACUGGGACUGCGCUACGGCCCAGACUCCUACGGGAGGCAGCAGUCGGGAUUAUUGCACAAUGGGCUGAAGCCUGAUGCAGCAACGCCGCGUGCGGGAUGACGGCCUUCGGGUUGUAAACCGCUUUCGCCUGUGACGAAGCGUGAGUGACGGUAAUGGGUAAAGAAGCACCGGCUAACUACGUG